AAGCGUGGCGAGCGCGAGGGUGUGGGUCGAGGCGGGCCGAGCAACUCAUACUUACCUGGCAGGGGAGAUACCAUGAUCACGAAGGUGGUUUUCCCAGGGCGAGGCUUAUCCAUUGCACUCCGGAUGUGCUGACCCCUGCGAUUUCCCCAAAUGUGGGAAACUCGACUGCAUAAUUUGUGGUAGUGGGGGACUGCGUUCGCGCUUUCCCCUGGUUAUCUGGGUUCACCAAGAACAGGCGCAGCUUUUUUCUUUCUCUUCGUGUUGGCGCAGAAGUGGACUUCUGGGCGUUUGGUUGUCCACAGUUAAUGCCUACGGUGUCGGAACAGCAGUCUCGGCAGUGUUUGGGGUCACGAUCUCACAGUUUGUGAGGAUCCACCCACCAGUCUACCCCAUCGGCCUCCAACCUAGCCUGGUUCAGCCCCUUCUCACUUUAGAAGAAUGGGAUCAUUUUACAAACCAUCAGAAAAAGGAGGGAAGAGAAACAAGGACCUUUCCCUGGCGUUCUUCUCUGCACCCACCCGCAGCCCCAACAACCUGGCUGUGUCCCCAGGAUGAAGCCCGUUUUCUCCUGGAUGGGUGCUCUCUGACAGGCCCUCAGUGUCUCCCUCUUCAGGCCCUGCCAAUUUCGCCUUAAGGGCCCAGCGCUAAGUCAGCCAGCUGGUCAGAACCCACAGGCCAGCUGCCUGUGUAAGUAAGGACGUGAAUUUGUGCGCCCGACCGACUGUGACGACAGCUGCCCCCGUCUCACUCCACCCCUACUCCCACUCUUCUGCGCCCCGACUCUGACUCUUAAGUCUGCGUUUUGCCGCCACACUCCGCCCCACCCCCCGCUCGCCCCCGCCCCUUUCUGCAUACAGGUGGAGACCCCAGCGGUCCGGUCGGUCCGUGGCCAGAAAGCGGGUAAGAUAGAAAUAUUUCAUCCAUCUCCCUCUCCCUCCGUCCGAUGUAGCGGGAGAAUCGGUACGGGUGGAUUUACCACCGGUGCACAGAGCGUGAGUAAUCACUGCUCUCUCAGCGGGAGCGCCCCCAGCCCCGCCAUCCGUGGCUACAAGAACAGGUGCGAAGGCACGGGAAAACGGAAGUGUACCCGGACCACGGCCCUGUCCUCGGACUGACAAGAAACCUGAAGGGGCCGCUGAAGUUCUCGUCGCGACUGGCAAGGCCCAUGAGAGGGGCCCUGCUGCAUUUCGUUUCUGCCAGUGUCAGCUUCGAUGCAAGCGCACAAUUGGCGAUGGCUUGGAAAACCUCAGAGUGACAGUUCUGUCCCACAAGUAGAUUAAGCUGGUCGGGGAAGAGGGUUUUCUGUCUCCGUAGAGCUGUAUAUUUAUAGACCCUAUGAGAAACAGGGAAGGAGGAGACAGAGAGACUGCAACUGGGAGCGACCGACGCAGCGACCGUCCUCGGAGGCAAGGCAGGAGAUCGAGGAGGGGGAGUUUUCAUGAAGGACGCCAUGGUUGUUCCCGACCCGUGUGACGACCUGUACGCUUGUCAGCCUCGAGGGCUUGCCGAGGGCAGAACCUCUUUGCCCACGCGUUUGUCUGGAGCGGGAGCAGUGGGCGAAUAAAAGUGGGGAAGGGCGCGGGACGGCGUGGGGC
ensembl:lncRNA